GGGGUGUAUGGGGUGUUCAGGGAGGGGGUAGCACUUCUGGUGGAGGGGCAUGUCGUGUCCUUUUGGGGCAGCCCUUCCACCUUUGGUCCCCACCUGUCACUCAGCUCUCACCUGUGGCUCCUAGUAGCUGUAUCAUGCGCAGCGGCCACACCCCGGGCAACAGCUUCGACAGGCUGGCUAAACCAGGUUGAGAGUAGCCGUUGGCUCAUUGGCCUUCGGUGAGAUAGGGACUUGUCUAUCCAGAGCAUGUGAAGAUAGAUUCCAGCGGACUGAGCGGAUGAAACCUUCUAGAAUUGGACAACGGUGAUGAAGGCGGUCUUUGCAAGCGAUGUGGUACCCUAAGAGCACGACACGAGUGACAUGACUGUGGAUGCAGAGCUGAUGCAUAAGGGACCUUGCAGUCGUGUGCCUACACUUCCAAAAAACUGAGCGAAACAACACAACAGGACUAAUGUCCAUGUCAAGGGGGGGCAAAUGUCAGCACUGCCAUCUUCGCUAGGCUUGCUCGGGGGAAGCUGUGCAGGUGGAGAGAAGAACAGAUGUUAGGAACUGCUAUCUUCCACUGCUUCAAGGAUGCCCGGCCUGGGAGAGAAUGUGAAACCGAUUACAAUCAAAGUGGUUCUCAAAAUGUCAAGCCAGGAUGCUAUUGGACGCUGAUGUUCUGGUCAGAGGGGAGGGCCACGAAUAGGGGAAAAAUCUGUAACUUUGCGGGUGGGGGGGGAAUACUCAGGCCUUGCUUUGCUUUUAAUGCAACCUAUAAUCCUUAAUAAAAGAACCUGUUG